rnacentral:lncRNA from 1 species
AUGGAGAGACAGAUGCUACUCUUGAUUCUCAUUGUGGUUCCAGGUGGAUUUUCAGACAAAAUUGAACCAAGAGAAGGAGAUAGUAAUUUAAUCAAGGAAGAAGGAGAAUUUGUGAAACUGAGCUGUACGUAUGAUGUGGGCAGCAAUAAUAUUUGGCUUUACUGGUACAGACAGUAUCCAAAUGGAGAACCUCGGUUUUUACUGCUCAAAGGUGCUCGAUCACAGACCUAUGAGAAUAUAGAAGACAAGCGGUUUCAGUCGACUACAUCCCAGUCAUCCACUGAACUCAUUCUUGAGAAAGCAGCUCUGUCAGAUUCUGCUCUCUAUUAUUGUGCUCUUCGAGUGGCCCAGUGAUACAAAAUACCAGAGAAGCUUUACAAAAACUUAGAUUAAAAAAAUGUGCUUUGAACAGUGUUUAAUCAAAUAGUAUCAAACCACAAUGUAUUUGCAUUUUUGUUUUUGAAAACCACAACUCUAAAAAUUAGAAUGUGGCAACACCUGUGAAUUUAGGAGAAUAUGAAAGGGAAUACACAGGUGGUAUGUGAAACUAUCUCUUAUCAGUUCUAUUUGAAUACAAGUUAGCAAAGAAUGAAGGAGUACUGUUUAUGAUGACCAGCAGAAUGUCUGGAAUUCCCAAAUUUUUUGCUGGGACUUGAAACAUGAGUUAACACAUUGAAUGUCUUCAUAAAAAUGUAGCAAUGCAGAAAGGGUAAGAGGAUAUAAAGUGUCAUUAGCUCAGUAUUUAACAACAGAACUCAAAGCAGCCUGACAGAAAAACAAACCUGUGUGAUUAGUGGAUGGGUGAUGUCACUAACCACACCCACUUUGCAAAUACACAUUUGAAUGUCUACAUUCAUUCAAACUGCUGUGUCAGUGAAUUGUAUCUUCUUCUUCAUUCACAUUAAAUACAGGGAAUCCCUAAAGUCUGUCAUUUCAGUCUCUUGCAUCUCUGCAAACAUGAUUUGGAUUCAAGCAAAAUAAGUCACCCAGAAUAUUAACAUGGACAGAUGUCGACUGCUGAUUCUUAUGACAGGUACUCUUUUUUUAAAGUGUCAUUAAUAUACACAAACUACCUUUCAAAUGAUUUGAAAACAAAGAGAGAGAAAUAAAUAAUAUAAAAAUCGACAGGGUCAUUAUUGUAAUCUUAAAGAUUUAAUUAAAAUGCUUUAAUUAGUAUUUUAUUUUAUUUUUAUUAUAGCAUGUCACCAUUUUUUACAUUAUCAUUCUAAAGCAAAAUUCAUUUUUGUAGGGGUAUUUGCUGACAGCAUUGCGCCAAAAGAAGAGGGUUCAAAUAAAACCAGGAGAGAAGGAGAAUCUGUCACUCUGAGCUGCACAUAUAAAAGCACAAAUAAUGUUUUGCUUUACUGGUACAGACAGUAUCCUAAUAGAGAACCUCAGUAUUUGGUAUUUAAAAGUUCUCGCAUGUCUGGUCAAGAGAAUGUAUCAUCCAAGCGUUAUAAGACAACUACAUCUCCGACAUCCACUUCACUCACCAUUAACAACGUGAACCUGUCAGAUUCGGCUCUCUAUUACUGUGCUCUAAAAGUAGGAGCCCAGUGAUACAAAGUCCACAGACGCUUUACAAAAACACACACAUAAUUGGUGUGCCAGUGAGCCACCACAACUCUGUGUCUUAAACCACAAGACAACAGGAUGCGGUCACACCUGCUGAAGAAACAAAAAGUGCACCCCCACCUUUGUUGGUUAGGUCCACCUCUUUAGGCUUCCUCAAACUUGUUCUGAACUUAAUUGUGUGAACAUUUAGCAGAAUUGUGUGGUAUUUAUAUAUUGUUUACGCUGUUAAAACAGUUUAAAGUGUGGUUUACAUGCAUAACCUUUCAAAUGUUUUUUUUUCUUGUUGUUUUUUUACAUUAAUAGUUAUAUUAAGCAAAGGCACAUUCAAUUAAGCAGAAUUGACAGUAAUGACAUAACAAAAGAUUUCUAUUUCAAACUAAAAGUUUACAUUUUUAAAUGUGUUUCCAUACUGUACAUAACAGUUUUAAGGGGAGGGGCUACUGAGACAUUCUAACUGGAGGGGGGAAAAUUAAAUGCUUACUUCAGUGACAGUAAAAGGUGUUGCACAUUAACUUGCAUAUCGUCCUGAACAAUGAUACUCUUUGUUUUUAUUCUGUUUUCUAUUUCAGGUAUGUAUUCUGUUCCAGACUGGCAGGAUUUUUGAUUAUUGUUUGCUUAUCUUUUUAUCCAUUUCUUUAACAAGCUACAUUUCUUUCUGCAGGUAGUAUGUUUGGGAGUGUCAUUACACCGGUCCACAAUGAAGUAUACAAAACAGAAAAGGACAUUAUAUCCCUGUCCUGCAACUAUUCCUCAGCAGCGAGUCUAUAUUGGUAUCGUCAAUAUCCUGGAUCGGUUCCUGAAUUUCUUUUAGUCAUUCUACAUGCAAAUGGGAAAGUUUUACAGAAGUCUGAAGUUGUGGAACUAGAUCCCCGAUUCUCAGGAGAACUGAAUAAAGAGAAGACCCACACCUAUCUUGAAAUCUCCUCUGCUAAAGUGACAGACUCAGCAACGUACUACUGUGCCCUGGAGCCCACAGUGACAGGAAAAUAGACAACACUGUCCAAAAACCUUCCCUACAUAGAGGGUAAAGCAUACCACAGUGAACUGCAUCACAGUUAAUGUUGCAGAAAUAUGGGAGAAAAGAAAUCCCCAAAAAUAAACUGUAAACUAAUGUUUCUGAUGUACAGACUCAGUGUUGUUUGGUUGCUUACAUUUUGUAUGUGCAGAUGGGUUUGAAAGCUAAGACUGCUUUGCUAAGAACAUACUGGGGUUAGGUGAUGUUUGUAAAUAAGCUUUAUAAGCUGUAAUGGCUUAUACCUAACUCCAAAACCCUGAUUUAAUUUAAGAAAAAAUAAGUGACAAACAGAAGCAAUAGUAUUGAUUCAGUGAGAUUAGAUUGCCAUCUGGUGGGCUGUAAAAUAG